rnacentral:rRNA from 1 species
AUCUGGUUGAUCCUGCCAGUAGUAUGCUUGUCUCAAAAAGAUUUACGCAUGUACGUUCAAGUACAUACUUUUUACAUGCGAAACCGCGAAUGGCCCAUUAAAAUCGUUGGCGGUUCCUUAGAUCGUACAAUCCUACUUGAUAACUGGAAUCAGAGCCAUUACACGAAGCACGGCUCUGACCGCGUGAAAGAGCGCGUUUAUUAGAUCAAAACCGUCGGGUUCGCAAGGGCCCGCCGGAUUGGUGAGACCGAUACCAGCGAUCGCAAUGGCCUGGCGUCGGCGACGUAUUCUUCAAAAUGUUCGCCUUAUCAACUUUCGAUGGCAUGGCGUUUUCCCGGGCGGUUGUAACGGCAACGGGAAUCAGUCUGAUUCCCGGAGAGGGAGCAUGAGAAAUGGCUACCAUCUAAGGAAGGCAGCAGGCGCGCAAAUUACCCACCUGGCACGGGGAGGUGUAGUGACAGGUAAUAACACGGGACCUUUGAGGCCCCAAUUGAAUGAGCACAAUUUAAACCCUUUAACGAGGAUCUAUUGAGGCAAGCUUGCGCCAGCAGCCGCGGUAAUUCCAGCUCCAAUAGCGUAUAUUGUGUUGAAAGUUAAAAAGCUUGUAGUUGGGAUCUCGGGUCCAGGCUUGCGGUCCGACGCCUGUCGGUUACUGCUCGUCCUGACCUUACCUCCCGGUUUUUUCGCCCUUGGUGCCUUUGACUGAGUCCUGUACGAAUGUUUACAUUUUGAAAAAUUAGAGUGUCUAAAUGGCAAUAUCGCUCGAAUAAUGGGUGCAUGAACAAUGGAACAGGGACCCGUCUCUAUUUUUUGCUGGUUUUCGUUUCGAGGUAAUGACGGAGGGACCUGACGGGGGGCAUUCGUAUUACGGUGUUAGAGGUGAAAUUUUGGAUCGCCUAAGAUUUGAACUACGGUGAAAGCGACGGCUGCCGUUUUCAUUAGUCAAGAACGAAAGUCGAGGUCGAACAGAUCAGAUACCGUCGUAGUUCUGACCAUAAACGAUGCCACUGAAGCGAUCCGCCGGAGUUGUUUCAAUGACUCCGAGAGGCCCCCGAAAACCAAAGUUUUGGGGUUCCAAAGUAUGGUUGCAAAGCUGAACUUUAAAGAAUUGGACGGAAGGGCAACCACCAGGGAGUGGAGCCAUGGGUUAAUUUGACCUUUAACACGGGAAAACUCACCCGCGGGACACUGUGGUGAUUGACAGAUUGAGAGCUCUUUCUGAUUGGUGGUGGGGUGGCCGUUCUGCUGGUGGAGCGAUUUGUCCGGUUAAUCUGAUAACGAACGAGACUCUAGGCUGUACUAAAUAGUUCGCCGAUCCCCAUUUGCGUCGGCGCAACUUAGGAGGGACAAGCGGCGUUUAGCCACACGAGAUUGAGCAGCACAAUAGGUCCAGGAUGCCCCAGGAUGUUCGGGGCCGCACGCGCGCCACACUGAAGUGAAUCCAGCGUGUCUCUCGCCCCUGCGGGGAAAGGUCGGGUAACCUGCUGAACCUCCUUUCUUCAAAGUAGGGAUUGGGGCUUGUAUUUCUUCCCAUGAACGAGGAAUCCAGUAAGCGAGUCAUAAGCCGCGUUGAUUACGUCCCUGCCCUUUGGUAAUAAUAACCGCCCGUCGCUACUACCGAUUGGGCGUUUAGUGAGCGCCUCGAUGGACCUGAAAUGGUUGGCAACAACCGUACCGGUGUUUGAAAAGACGCAAACUUGGAACGCCCCAGAGGAAGUAAAAUCGUAAAUAAGGUUUCCGUAGGUGAACCUGCGAAGGAU